GUCAUCAUCAAGGCUUAUUACAUCAUCACCAUCAUAGUUAGACUCAUCCAUUUUAGAGUUAAUGUCAGAAGCAGCAGCAUCUGAGUCAUAACUGCUAUCACUAGCCACCUCAAGUGACUCAGCAGGUUGAACGCUAGCACUACGUUGAGAGGCUGUAUCAAGUUGUUGAAAGCAUGCACUACGAUGAGGCUCUAAAGUUAAUAGGUUGCAGGGAGUGCGCUGUUACCUACACAACACAAGGUUAAUACCUAAUGAGCAUAUGAACAAAUCCAAAUCCAAAUCCAAAUGUAUAGGACCAGAUCCACCUAGAAGGCAUGUUAAGGAUGCAUCAAAUCGACAUAUACAACAUGUUAAAGUACACGACAAAUUGACCAAAGUAGCACUCUGCAAUGUCAAUACCUGCUGCUCUCCAUGGCGUUGCCCGGCACUCCGCAAUGUCAGCUCAGGGACCACUCGCUGCCACUGCCACACGCCUUGGAUCUGCUCGUCGCCUUGGAGCCGUUGGCCACCCGCGUGGACAAGGUUGUCGCGUGGAGCAGGUUGCCACCGCCCGUGGAGCCCUGCUGCGUCGCGCUCAAGGUCAUUGCCUCUUGCCGACCUGCCCACGUUGGAACCAGCAGCGACCGCCUCCUGCCCGCGCUGUACCACCAGCAGCCGUCCGCGCAGGAUCCCGGCUGCCCACGCGAUCCUGCCCGCGCUGGAACCAGCAGCCGCCCGCGCGCGAGCAUGGCUGCCCAUGCAGCAUCUCGAGUCGCCGCCGCCUCGUGCUCAAGGUCGCCCCACCGCGCAGCCUCUCCGCUAGCCCGACGCCGCCAGGGAGCCAUCCCAAGGUAUGGUUGGGAAGUAAAGGGCAUGUUUGUCU
rnacentral:misc_RNA from 1 species